rnacentral:lncRNA from 1 species
AACCGUGGGAAAGAACCAAAAAUGGCAGCCAUGGAUGAGCUCCAUUCGGCCAAGCUUCUAUGGCUUAUAUAGGUACGAUUUUUGUCUCGUUUUUAAUGAUUUUCGUAUUUUUGAUAUCCCCGAAGCUUAAAUUUUCUAUUUCUACCAAUUGAUUGAAGAGAAAUUAGAGUUUAAAAAUUUACUCAUUCAUGAUAUGGUUGUGUUUUGAUGAUUUAUAGUAGAUAAUGAAUGUUUGAUGUGUUAAAUACGAGUUUUAUUCGAUGAAUUUCGGUAAAAAUGUCAAAAGGGGUUAAAUUGUAAAAGUUAUAAAUUGGUUAUAAGGGUGUGAAUUAGUGAAAGUUUGGCAUUGUCAUAGAAGAGAAAAAUGUUCAGUAUGUCUUAAACCUUAUAGAAAUUGAAUAAAAAUUAUUUUAUGAGCCUAGGGGUAAAAGUGUAAUUUUUGAAAAGUUAGGGGGCAUAAUUGUAAAUUUUCCAAAACUUGAUAUAUGAAUUGAAUUGGUUAGUGUGCUGAUAAAAUGUGUUAAAUAAGUGUUAUUUGACAUGUUAGAUCAAGAAAACAUGAAAUUUUGGAUUAAGAUCGGGGAAGAACAAAGUUGUGUGCUAAGUCAGGAAAGUUAGCCGUUUCGGCAUUUGAGGUAAGUUGGUAUGAUAAUAAUACUGCAAUAAUUUUGUAAUUUAUAUUUGAAAGUUAAAUUUAGUGAAUUAAUUGAAUUAUGUUAAAUUAAAUGAUAUGGUGCCAAGUUUAUGAAUUGAUUUAAAAAUAUGUCCAUGGUACAUGAAGUGCAUUGAAUUAUCAUACAUAAAUGUGAUUUCUAUGAUUAUGGAUAUUAUGAGCAAUUGUAAGUUCAUAUGAUUUUUAAUAAUGCAAUAUGUAAUUUAAUGUUAUUGCCUUGAUAUUAAAUGAGAUGUAAGUUUAUAUGCAAGUAAUACAUCAAUUUUACUUGUAUUAUGAUAUUUUAUAAUAAUAUUGGAAAUAUGUUUGUUGAUAAUUACUUGAUUGGUGAAAUUGUUGGAAAAGAGAGAGAAAUCCCUGUUGAACCUUUGGAAAGAUUGGAUGAUACAGAUGAUAUGUAGGUAAGUCAUAUGUAUGGUGCUGAGUGCACAUCAUGUGUACAAGAGAGUUACGAGACAUUAUGAUGUAGCUAGGUCACAUGGGUGAUACUAUGUGUACACCAUGUAGACAAGAGAGCUACGGGAUAUAUGUAGCUAGGUCACAUGGGUGGUACUAAGUGUUCACCAUGUGUACAAGAGAGCCGAACUAUAUGAUGGGUGGAGCUAUGUGUUGAAACCACCAAGUAUCGAGGAUUGAUCCGAAGUGUUCAACGGGAGACUUACGAUGUACUGCUUUGUGAGUUUUGUGAUGAAUAAGUGCAGGAACUUGGUUAUGUGAAUGAUGUGUUCAUUAAGUGACCGGGAUGUGGUAAGGUUAUAAACAAGUAAGUUAUACAUGAGGAUGAUUUUAUGGUGACCUUGUAAUCAUGGGCCUAUACUUGUGAUGUAUGAAAUGUGGUGAAAAUGAUUUGUGAUAUGUAUGUUAAAAUGAGGUUAAUACAAAGAAAGUGUGAAAGAGUGAAUUAGUAAUAAAAACUGUUUUGGACAGCAGCAGUGAUGUGACUUUGAAAAAUCACCAAAAAUAGUAUAAAUUUAAUUAGAGGCUGAAUGAGAUAUGAAAUUAAAGCUUAAUGAGUCUAUUUUCAUAUAAAAGAAAUAGAGAAAGCAAAGGAAUUAUAUAUUUUUAGAUAUUUAUAUGUUUGUGAGACUAGUUCAGAAUGAUUACGUGAUCCCCUGUUCUAACUUGGUAAAAUCAUCAUAAAUUGUACAAAAAUAAUUAUGGGGCAUAGUUUAUAUGCUUAGAAACCUUAAUGAGUAUAUUUUUGAUAUAGAAACCUUAAUGAGUAUAUUUUUGAUUGGAAUAAUCAAAAACAUUAUUUGAAUUCUGUACAAUGAGAUAACUGAGUUUUUAUAUAGAGAGGUCAGAAAUGUUAGACAGUGAAAUAGAGGAAACUUUAAGAAAAAUCUGGUAUUGAUUGGCAAUACCACAAAUUCUGAAAAUUUUAUGGUAGAAAUUUAUAUUAGUCUAGUUUCAAGAAAAAUUUACGAAACUUGAUUUUGAGUUCUGUAGCUUAAGAAAUAAUUAAAUUAGUGACCAUGAUUCAGGAAAAUAGCCUUAGCUGAGCUUGUGUAAAAAGAUGAAAUCAUGUGAUUAAUGAUUCUAUUUUUUUUAGCAUAUUUAUUGAGGAGUGGGAUAAUAUUUUUAAUUAAAUUUCAUAUUAGUAUUAAUAUGCCAACUUACGAAGCUUUUAAGCUUACACCAUUUUCCCAUUUCUCUUAGUGUUGUCAGGUUGGCUCGGGUUUGGAGAUCGUCGGAAGUAUCAUCACACUAUUAGUUUAUCAAAUUAGAAUAAUGGUAAUUCUUAUUUAUUGUCAAAUAAGUGGCAUGUAUAGAUAAUUAGUUAUUGAUAUUAAAUAAUAUUAUGAUUUAGCCAAAUGUAUAGGCUCAUUUUUGCUUCAUUGUAUAUAGCCAUAAGAUUUGGCUCAUAAUGGUUAAAGUUAUGUAAACCUAUUUCUAAGUGUCUGAAAGAUUUCGGUUUGUUCCCGAACCAAUUUCAAUGAUUGUUUUGGGACUCGAAGGCCCUUUUAAGGGACAAAUUAUAUAUGUUUGAAAAGUUUAAAAUUGAUGAAAUUUUAUGUCUCGAUUUUAAAUGAUUGCAAGUACUCAAGUAUGGUAAUACCUCGUACCCUGUUCUGGCGUCAGAUAUGGGUAAGGGGUGUUACAG